UGCCACCACCACUGUGGGGAAGAAGGCUUGUUCAACCCUACAGCCAUCCUUGCUAACUUCUUUUUUUUGUGUUCUUGUUUUUUGGAGCAUUAAAAGACAGCACUUCCUUUCUACUAUAUGACAACCCUUCAAAUCAAUGAAAGAGCUGUUAUGAUUGUCCUACUAUGAUCCUAAGUUAAACCCAUGAGUUUUCCUCAUCUGCUCAACAUGUGGUAUUGCCUUCAGAAUCUU
rnacentral:lncRNA from 1 species